rnacentral:lncRNA from 1 species
CUGAAAGCCCAUAGCUCUGAACCUAUAGCCAUGGAAAGCUACAUAGAGACCCAAGAUGCCAUGUAUAUUUGGAUAGAACUGAGAAAGUAGGAGGUGGCUGUUUUUCCUUGGGACAUGGAAAAUGCAGAGAAGCCUGGUGGAAUUGAGACAUUUCAAAGGAAAGAAUGUAAAAUAUAUGCAAUGAGAAUAAAAACAACAUCAACAAAAACAACAGCAACUAACAUUGGAAAAUUGGAAUCAGACCGGGAGCAGAUUGUCCUGAGUGAACAGUAGUGCAGAAGACUCUGUGCUAAAUGUGAAGUUUUGAAUCAGUGAUGAACAGCAAGACUAGUUUCCUGCAAGCAGCUCAAUACAGGACAAAUGGUCAUGGAAUAGAGGAUAACAGAGAGAUUUCCAGGUAAAGCCAGAAUGGAGUCAGGGUGGAUGAAUGACUUUACAGCAUAGUUGUACAUGUAAAGCAGAAUCAAAGGUACCAGCAAGAGAAGAGGAAAGCAAGAGUCAGAUGAAGCAUUUUUUGGGCAGGUUUGCCUUUACAUCAGCAGAAAUUCUUAUUG